AAAAGCUACUAGAGUGUAACUUUUAUUUUUUGGCGUGAGUCGAGUCUCACUGUU
rnacentral:tRNA from 1 species